GCACUAGUGGUGUAAUGGUUAACAUGUGGUCUUUCCAUAGACAUUCCGGAAUAUUCUUUGGCGGCAUUCGGGGUUCGAUUCCCCGCUAAUGCA